AAAAUAUUGGUUAUAAUAUAUUUUUACAUUGUGUAUUCCUUUGUCAAAAAAUCCACUCAUGAUGAAUAUGGUAGAAAAAGUUUUACCAAAUACGUUGAGGAGAAUUAAUCAAUCAUGAAUUUGUCAUUGUAACACUAACUUCUGUGGCCAUUCAAUCUAUACGAUUAAAUAGAUAUUGACUUAAACAGAAUAUACUAUAAAAAUUGAAGAAGUGUCUCUAAAACACAUUAAAAUAUUGGAUGAACGGAUAAAUAAUAAUGCUAACAACCAGAUUUAACCAAUAGUUGAUAUUGAUAUACCAAGUGUAUAUACAGGCAAUACUAAUUUAAAUUCAACUUUUGAAAAAUCGUUCAAUAUUACACUUUACGAUUUGUCGCCAG